rfam:Salmo salar isolate Sally breed double haploid chromosome ssa10, whole genome shotgun sequence.
ACUGUAGACUAAUGGUAAGUCGCUCUGGAUAAGAGCGUCUGCUAAAUGACACAAA